GACGAACGCUGGCGGCGUGCUUAACACAUGCAAGUCGAACGGAAAGGCCCUGCUUUUGUGGGGUGCUCGAGUGGCGAACGGGUGAGUAACACGUGAGUAACCUGCCCUUGACUUUGGGAUAACUUCAGGAAACUGGGGCUAAUACCGGAUAGGAGCUCCUGCUGCAUGGUGGGGGUUGGAAAGUUUCGGCGGUUGGGGAUGGACUCGCGGCUUAUCAGCUUGUUGGUGGGGUAGUGGCUUACCAAGGCUUUGACGGGUAGCCGGCCUGAGAGGGUGACCGGCCACAUGGGGACUGAGAUACGGCCCAGACUCCUACGGGGGGCAGCAGUGGGGAAUAUUGCACAAUGGGCGGAAGCCUGAGGCAGCAACGCCGCGUGCGGGAUGACGGCCUUCGGGUUGUAAACCGCUUUCGCCUGUGACGAAGCGUGAGUGGCGGUAAUGGGUAAAGAAGCACCGGCUAACUACGUG
rnacentral:rRNA from 1 species